rnacentral:rRNA from 1 species
ACACGCUGGCGGCGUGCUUAACACAUGCAAGUCGAACGAUGAAGCUGGAGCUUGCUCCGGUGGAUUAGUGGCGAACGGGUGAGUAACACGUGAGCAAUCUGCCCUUGACUCUGGGAUAACUGCGGGAAACUGUAGCUAAUACCGGAUACGACACCUUGGGGCAUCCCAGGGUGUGGAAAGAAUUUCGGUCAAGGAUGAGCUCGCGGCCUAUCAGCUAGUUGGUGAGGUAAUGGCUCACCAAGGCGACGACGGGUAGCCGGCCUGAGAGGGUGACCGGCCACACUGGAACUGAGACACGGUCCAGACUCCUACGGGAGGCAGCAGUGGGGAAUAUUGCACAAUGGGCGAAAGCCUGAUGCAGCAACGCCGCGUGAGGGAUGAAGGCCUUCGGGUUGUAAACCUCUUUUAGCAGGGAAGAAGCGAAAGUGACGGUACCUGCAGAAAAAGCACCGGCUAACUACGUG